rnacentral:tRNA from 1 species
GCGUUGUUAGGCUAGUGGUAAACUGGGGCUUUGCCAUUGGCAUUUAGCCUCGUCAGGGGUUCGACUCCCCUACAACGGA